CGGUGUGAUGAGUCUGCUAAGAUGUACGCAACAUUUACAAUUGGAAGACGAGUCUGAACACUGAUGCACACACUGAUAAACGGCACUGACGC
rnacentral:sRNA from 2 species